UAACAUCCGCGGCGAUUGACACCCGCCUCCCCAACCACAUGAUCAGGUUACGGACGUGUAGGGAAGAGGGCUGAUGGUAGGUCUUUAUUAUCUGCGAUAAAGCGACGGAAAAACAAACUGGGAAAAGAAGAGGCUCAUCGCCAUGGCCGCGUCUGAAAUUGUAGAAGAGUCUGAGGCGACAGAGCCACUGUUUAAGCAGUACAAAGCAAAUGAGGUCCUCGAGAUCAAGAAGCCUCGUUUGCACAACCUGCUAGAGAAACAGCCCAUGUCUAUGGGGGCUUUUCAGACUAUAUGCGGCAUCACGAUUUUUGGACUUGGGAUUGUAACAGCUACUUCGCAAGUGGUGACUUUGGGAAUCCUGCUCAGAGUGGCAAUUCUCACCGGGAUUCUGUUUUUCUUUUCUGGAUUAUUGUCUUUCCUGCUGUACAAAUUCCCUGCAUUCCUACAGGUGAGUAGGCCUGUAUUUGUAGUUGAAAUUUAAGUAAACGGCAUUUCUUGGGAUAAUA